rnacentral:lncRNA from 1 species
UCCGCUGCACAUCUGGUUGCUUCAGCUAAAAAAUGUUGUCUUUCAUUGUCUAGAAUUUUGAGUUCUUGAUGUUUCUUCUGUGGGUUAUCAACCAGGUGCCAUGCUCUACAGCUGCUUAUGUGAUUAUCAGCUCAAAAAAGUUUGUACUUCCUCCUUUUUUAUUUCCUCCUCUUACUCUUGUUCUCCAUUAAUGGUUGUUUGUGAUAUCUCCAGGUGCGUUCUUUGGUGGAUGGGAUAAAUCUCCUCAUUUUGUAUUGUAUUGAAGGAAUCAGGACCCUAGAUGCUAUCUGAGAUCUGUGUAAGUACAGUCUUUUCAACUUCCUCAAUCUUUUUAGCUUCUCUUCAUCCUUACUUUGCUUAUCAUGCUCUUCCUUAUAGCUAUUGAUGGGAUGGAGAUACUGGAAUGCUCUGACCCGCAUGCAAGUAUACUGAAUUAGUUUAUCCAGGUGUUUCAUAUGCCAACAUCUUCCCUGACCUUCCCUUUUUGCUGAGAGUCCAUUUUGAAGGAUGUGUUAGAAUAGGCUAGGAAACUAUUUGUGUAGUUUUCUCAUUGUAAUUAUUCUGUUGAGCAUUUGUGAACACUGUAGCCUACUCACCGAUUUACUCUCUUGUUGCUCUUAUCCUUAUGUAAGGAUAUUGUAAUUUGUCACUGUUCAGUAUCUUUCUACCUUGUGACUAUAAUUGAUAAAAGUUUAUGAUUGCAAAAUCUCUACUAUCAAUGGCUAGAUUAGUUAGAUAAUAUG